rnacentral:tRNA from 1 species
GGCGAAGUCGGGGCUCAGGUUGGGGACGAGUCUGAUAAGCGUUGUGCGCCGUUGCCGGGGCUUUCCCAACUGGGCCCCGGCCUUCGCCGGGGUGGUGCAGCGCCGGUUUGAUUCGUCUUCGCCACCA